UUUGGGGUUUUGAUGCGCGGUUUUACUGUUUUGAUGCGCAAUACUUUAGACUCUAAUUUGACACCAUAGAAAAGUCUGCACCGCACUCACCUCAAAAUGGUUCAGCAGAAAGGGCGCACCCUUUUGGAAAUGACGCACAUUGCAGCUUUGACCGCACAGAUUUUUUAAGUACAUCCAAGGCUAAAGGUUGUUAGCACGUGUAACAGGACGUGAUCUGUUCAUUUUAAUUACACAAAAUAUUGACUGUCUCUAAGUUUCUUUCCCCCCUUGUAUUCUGUGUUGGGUUUUGUAGCCCCUCCUUAAUGUGUUCUUCUUCGUGGUUUUCUCUUUAUAAGGUUGGCGCUUUCUUUCCCUCUUUCCUUUUUGUUUUACUGUCCAGCGGGAGAGGUGGGUGUCCUGUAAUGUUAGCCAUAUGAAUCCUCAUUUUAUGUUAAUUAUUGUGCCAUAUACUGUUAUUAUUUGGAAUCUGUUAUGAAAAACAUAAAAACCUUUGUAGAUGUUAACUGUUUAUUUCAGAAUAAGAAUUUCCUGUUCAUGUUCUGUGCUCCCUCUACCUCUCACCCUCAUGUAGGAGCUAAUACGGGAUGCUAACACCGUAAUUUCUAUUUUCUUUUUGGAAAAUUGCCAGAUACGCAAUAAACGGAGGUGGUCUCCAAGGGUG